ensembl:lncRNA
AUGCCUCCAUCCCUCCAUCUCAGACCUCCACCCAUCCACCUUCGACCUCCAUCUGUCCAUCACAGACCUCCAACCACCCACCUCAGACCUCCAUCCCUCCAUGCCAGACCUCCAUCUGUCCAUCUCAGACCUCCAACCAUAUAUCUGAGCCACAGCCCCUCUUCCAUCUACCUGGGAAACAGACCUCCAAUCAACGAUCGCAGUCCUCGAUCCAUCUUUUCCGGACGUCCGUCCAUCCAUCUCAGCCCUCAAUCCAUCCACCCCCCGGACCUCCCUCCAUCCAUCUCCCACACACACUGCAAGGUAGAUUGGGAUAGAGUAGAGGGUGAGGUUGUUCCUGUAAGAGACAUCAGUGUCCAAAGCUGUCCAAAGAAGUCAGACAUGCGGCUGGAGCUUGGACAGGUUGACAGAGUCCUGUUGGACACACCCAGUGGGAGGGACUGCACAGGAGAGACAGAUGAGAAAGUGAAGACGGUUCAGUACUUGCUGGGAGAACUGAAGGCUCUGAUCGCUGGACAAGGCAGUGUAGCAGAGAGGCUGCUCACUCAUCUGGAGCAGACCGUGUCUUCACCAAUGAUGGAUGCUGGGAGUUCAAACAUAUGGACCGAACCAGAACGAGUGUCCCUUCACAGCCAGAACAAUCUGCUCCGCAGUGUGGACUUUGCAGGAGGAGCUCAGCACUGCUCAGUCACAACUGCAAGAAGUCCAGGACGACCUCACAGAGCUACGGAAAGCCCUGGAGGAAACACAGAGCCAGCUGACAGACCGAGAGGCAGAGAAGGCCCUCAUCCAGACAGAAUUGGAGGCCACCCGAAGCAGGUUGCUGGACAGUGA